GAUGAACGCUGGCGGCGUGCCUAAUACAUGCAAGUCGAGCGAACGGACGAGAAGCUUGCUUCUCUGAUGUUAGCGGCGGACGGGUGAGUAACACGUGGAUAACCUACCUAUAAGACUGGGAUAACUUCGGGAAACCGGAGCUAAUACCGGAUAAUAUUUUGAACCGCAUGGUUCAAAAGUGAAAGACGGUCUUGCUGUCACUUAUAGAUGGAUCCGCGCUGCAUUAGCUAGUUGGUAAGGUAACGGCUUACCAAGGCAACGAUGCAUAGCCGACCUGAGAGGGUGAUCGGCCACACUGGAACUGAGACACGGUCCAGACUCCUACGGGAGGCAGCAGUAGGGAAUCUUCCGCAAUGGGCGAAAGCCUGACGGAGCAACGCCGCGUGAGUGAUGAAGGUCUUCGGAUCGUAAAACUCUGUUAUUAGGGAAGAACAUAUGUGUAAGUAACUGUGCACAUCUUGACGGUACCUAAUCAGAAAGCCACGGCUAACUACGUGCCAGCAGCCGCGGUAAUACGUAGGUGGCAAGCGUUAUCCGGAAUUAUUGGGCGUAAAGCGCGCGUAGGCGGUUUUUUAAGUCUGAUGUGAAAGCCCACGGCUCAACCGUGGAGGGUCAUUGGAAACUGGAAAACUUGAGUGCAGAAGAGGAAAGUGGAGUUCCAUGUGUAGCGGUGAAAUGCGCAGAGAUAUGGAGGAACACCAGUGGCGAAGGCGACUUUCUGGUCUGUAACUGACGCUGAUGUGCGAAAGCGUGGGGAUCAAACAGGAUUAGAUACCCUGGUAGUCCACGCCGUAAACGAUGAGUGCUAAGUGUUAGGGGGUUUCCGCCCCUUAGUGCUGCAGCUAACGCAUUAAGCACUCCGCCUGGGGAGUACGACCGCAAGGUUGAAACUCAAAGGAAUUGACGGGGACCCGCACAAGCGGUGGAGUAUGUGGUUUAAUUCGAAGCAACGCGAAGAACCUUACCAAAUCUUGACAUCCUUUGACAACUCUAGAGAUAGAGCCUUCCCCUUCGGGGGACAAAGUGACAGGUGGUGCAUGGUUGUCGUCAGCUCGUGUCGUGAGAUGUUGGGUUAAGUCCCGCAACGAGCGCAACCCUUAAGCUUAGUUGCCAUCAUUAAGUUGGGCACUCUAAGUUGACUGCCGGUGACAAACCGGAGGAAGGUGGGGAUGACGUCAAAUCAUCAUGCCCCUUAUGAUUUGGGCUACACACGUGCUACAAUGGACAAUACAAAGGGCAGCGAAACCGCGAGGUCAAGCAAAUCCCAUAAAGUUGUUCUCAGUUCGGAUUGUAGUCUGCAACUCGACUACAUGAAGCUGGAAUCGCUAGUAAUCGUAGAUCAGCAUGCUACGGUGAAUACGUUCCCGGGUCU
rnacentral:rRNA from 1 species